AUCUUAUAAAAUUACUCUUAGUUCGGAUUGAAAUCUGCAACUCGAUUUCAUGAAGUAGGAAUCGCUAGUAAUCGUAAAUCAGAAUGUUACGGUGAAUACGUUCUCGAGCCUUGUACACACCGCCCGUCACACCAUGGAAGUAAAUUGUAUCAUAAGUAAUUUUAUUAUUAUUAAGGUAUGGUUUGUAACUGGGGUGAAGUCGUAACAAGGUA
rnacentral:rRNA from 1 species